rnacentral:rRNA from 1 species
AAGCUCGUAGUUGAAUUUCGGGGUUAGUAGGUUGGUCAUGCCUCUGGUAUGUACUGGUCUCACUGAUUCCUCCUUCCUGAUGAACCGUAAUGCCAUUAAUUUGGUGUUGCGGGGAAUUUGGACUGUUACUUUGAAAAAAUUAGAGUGUUUAAAGCAAGCUAACGCUUGAAUACAUUAGCAUGGAAUAAUGAAAUAGGACGUUCGAUCCUAUUUUGUUGGUUUCUAGGAUUGACGUAAUGAUUAAUAGGGAUAGUUGGGGGCAUUAGUAUUCAAUUGUCAGAGGUGAAAUUCUUGGAUUUAUUGAAGACUAACUACUGCGAAAGCAUUUGCCAAGGAUGUUUUCAUUAAUCAAGAACGAAAGUUAGGGGAUCGAAGACGAUCAGAUACCGUCGUAGUCUUAACCAUAAACUAUGCCGACUAGGGAUCGGAUGAUGUUAAUUUUUUAAUGACUCAUUCGGCGCCUUACGGGAAACCAAAGUGUUUGGGUUCCGGGGGGAGUAUGGUCGCAAGGCUGAAACUUAAAGGAAUUGACGGAAGGGCACCACCAGGGGUGGAGCCUGCGGCUUAAUUUGACUCAACACGGGGAAACUUACCAGGUCCAGACAUAGCAAGGAUUGACAGACUGAGAGCUCUUUCUUGAUUCUAUGGGUG